AACGAACGCUGGCGGCAUGCCUAACACAUGCAAGUCGAACGCCAUGGUUUCGGCCAUGGAGUGGCGCACGGGUGAGUAACGCGUGGGAACCUGCCCAGCAGUAUGGGACAACCGCGGGAAACUGCGGCUAAUACCGUAUACGCCCGUCUUUGGGAGACCAGGGGCGGGGAAAGAUUGAUCGCGGUUGGAGGGGCCCGCGUCGGAUUAGGUAGUUGGUGGGGUAAAGGCCUACCAAGCCUGCGAUCCGUAGCUGGUCUGAGAGGAUGAUCAGCCACACUGGGACUGAGACACGGCCCAGACCCCUACGGGAGGCAGCAGUGGGGAAUAUUGGACAAUGGGCGCAAGCCUGAUCCAGCAAUGCCGCGUGAGUGAUGAAGGCCUUAGGGUUGUAAAGCUCUUUCACACGCGACGAUGAUGACGGUAGCGUGAGAAGAAGCCCCGGCUAACUCCGUGCCAGCCGCCGCAGUAA
rnacentral:rRNA from 1 species